CUGGAAUUUGUCAGCUUACAGACCUAACCUUGCCAUCCUCCUUCCCUCUCUAGGGAGCCUACAAAGAGGUCCAGGAAGGUUUUCUUUUUAAAAUGUCAGAAGUUGCUAUUUGUUCUCCUUUCUCAGAAUAGAGUAAUAGUUUGGCACUUCUCUCUUGAAAAAAGUUGUGCUCCCAACAGAUAUAAUCCUGGCUGGGUACAUCUUGGGUCAUUCAUGGGGAUAGAGUAGGCAGGGUGUGUAGAAUCUUCUUCCAUCACAGCAUGAAACUGAGUGAAGACUUCAGACCAUGACAUCUGCAGAUGUUGGGCUUCAGUUGUGGGUUCCUCCAUUUUAUACUCCUUUCUUCCUGCUGGUGGGCAUGAUGGCUGGAGUUGAUGCAGUCAUUUUAGCACAAUGGGGAAAAGACCACGUGAGUACUAGAGGCUUCAUUAUGAAUAACAUUGAACAACUGGAACAACGCUAGCAGCUGCAAAUCCUCAAACUUCUCAUUAUGUGUCAAAAAUAAACUACUUGUAUUAGACAC
rnacentral:lncRNA from 1 species